CCUGCCGACCGCAACCUUUGAAUAGAAUGGAAUCUAUUGAUUGUAUUCUUGAGUCUAGAAUCUAUUGAAUCUAUUCUAUUCAACGUAUGAAUAGAUUAGAAUGCAUUGAUUCUAUUCUUGAAUCUAGAAUCAUUAGAAUCUCUUCAGAUUCUCUGUAGCGCGGAGAUUGCAUUGCACUGCGAUGCUAAGCGACGUCAUGCCAUGAAUGAGCUGUAAAAGCCUGGGCUGCACUGUUGGGAGUGUGUCCGUAGUCAGUAAAGCACCAUAAUGAUUUGCUAUAGAAAACAAUAUAUUUGUCUCUUUAAACGUAACACGAAAGUCAAAAUAAUGGUCAAAACUCGAAAAAGUAAUGCACAAAGAAUAACGCAUAGACAGUGUAAUUACAGUUGUGUUCCUUUACUAAUAAAAGUGUGUACCAUACUAUUGGACAAAUAGUGCAUUAAAGUCCUCCUGGGAAGUUCGUAUUUUACGAGUUGGGAAGUCGUGUGUACUACGUCAGGUGCGUUCAAAUCACUUUCGUCGGAGCAAGAUGGCGGUAAACCUUCUCUUAAUUAACUACACAAAAAUGCAGCAAGGUUUUUGAACUCUACUUCUAGAAAAUGAAGAACAAAGAUGUGCAUCAGAAAAUCCAGAGCAUCCCACUCAUACUUACGACUUUGUGGUGGCGUUCAUGUGCGUUCAACUUGUAAAUGAGAUCUUUUUGACAUGACUUGAGUGCACCACAAGAAAAGAAAUGUUUCUCUCUUGCAGGACCUUCUUCUAAUCCUCGUAAACGUCAGGUGCGAUUUUCAGCACGUCAUGACAUCCUGCUCCUACGUGAGGUGAUAGCACAGAACCCCUUCACUUCUAAAGAGUCAGGCCGGAUCUGGGCAAGGGUGGGUGAAAUUAUUACUGCUACCCUACAGGACGAGAAUUUUGAGGUGGAUGGACGCAGAUGCAGGGAGAGGACUAUGCUACUACUCGAUUAUUAUAAAAAACAGGACUUUGCAAGUCUGCGCAGGUUUGGUACAGAGCGCCUGUAUGCACAGAAAGAAGACCUAUUGCAUGAAGUGCUGGAGCUGGAAGCCGAGAAGAAUCUUCUGGCGAGUGGGGAAAGUAAAUACCAGGAUGAAGAGCUCAGGAAGAGAGCACUGGAGGAAUUAUCAUCACCUGAGCCUGACAAAUCCUCUGUGAUGUCAGUAACAACAGCUCCACCUGCUGUGGUAGCAAGCCCAGACCCUGAAGAGCAGGAGGAGGCUGAGCUCACAGCUCCUACAGCCAAACGGCCAUGUCAGUGCUGCUGCCAAACCUAUUCAGAGAUCCUGAGCUUUCUAGAAAAACGCUUUGAAGCAGAGCAGAGUCUGCGAGAGGAAGAGAUGGCACUGAGAAGAGAGGAGCUAGAUAUCCAGAGAAGUAAGAUUUCCCUGGAUCGAGAGCGUCUCGGAGCAGAGAGAAAAGAGCGGGAACGACGGUUUGAGCUGGAGAGUCAAGAAAGGCAGGUCAUACUGGACUUGUUGAAAGAGAAAGUUCUAAAAAACGAACGGAACUCUGACUGAAAUUAGAAGUUUUUUCUUUUAAGUCUUUGAUGUUGAACUCUCCUUCCAACCAAUGCUAGUAUUUCAUCUUCCUGUUUGAUUUGGUCUCCUUAUAGCAUGAAAAUAAUAUAAACCCAUAAUAAUAUAGCUGAUUAUAUAUAGUUGACCUGAUAGAAAACUGACCCCUGGUUUCCAAGACAAGGCUUAAGCCCAUAGUCCCAGACUAAAAUGCAUUUUUGAGCAGUUUUAACUGAAAGCAAUUGACAUAUUUUAAAACUUUUGGUUUAUGUGUAGACCAUUUUGAUUUUCUUCUGCAUUUAAAUCUUUGUUGUGUAAUGUUUCAAAGCUGUGUCAGUAUAGUUUAACUUUAUUAAAAUGUCAUCUUUAGUUGGAAUUGUGCUGUUGUGCUAAUUUUGUCUAAUAUACAAGAAAGUAAACAGGGAAAAAGGACAGACAAAGCUACAUACAGUGCUUCGAUGUUAUUCGUUCCAUCCACUUUUUUAAUUAAACCAUAAUUUUCUGUUAUCCAUGUACAUCCCAAAGCUGAUCUGACACUUCCAUUUCCCUGGCAAACCCCAAGCUUUCUUCAGCUGAGCAUUUAUUGACUUCACACAGUAUUUAUUGGUUUAAAAUCCGGACUAGGGUUUAAGCUAAAAAAAGAAAGAUGUCUGAAAGUUGAGGUUGGUGGUCAGUUUGUGUGUAAAUGCAUGUUUUUGACCAAUGUUUUCCACUUUGAAUGUAAUAUAUUCAAAUAGUAAUACAUUCAAAAUGUGAAAAUAUGCAAUCUUCUCGACUUUACUGCAAAAAAUAUUGGUCUUUUAUUUCAGCCAAGGAGUCAUGCCAUGACGUAUCGAUUUUCUACAGGUCACACGUCUUCAUGUAAUGCAAAUUUGCAGGCCAGAGUUCACCAAACUUGAACUUUUGAACGCAGCGGAAUGCCAAAUUUUUCGCAUGAGCUUGCGUUUCCAGUCUGACGCAUUUGCAUGUGUAUGAAUGGAAGUCAAUGGAUCGAAAAGUGCAGCGUGACCGCCCCCUUCAAUGAGAAAAUGAGAGUGCUGAAAUCAAAAUACUCCACAGAUGAGUAAGGUUUCCUCCCACUUUAUUUUCUACUUUCAUUGUUUCAAAUGCUUGUUUUUUGAUGUACACUGUUCAGCAGUACAAGAAAAAUAAGGACAUUACAAAGAAUUUCAUGGUUCAUUUUGAUCUGCUUAGUAGUUAUAGAUACACAUACUGUACAUACUUAUGACACCUUUUUUAAGAGAGACCCAAUACAAUGAGCAAUAAACAACAAGUAGUUAAUUUGGUAACACUUUACAAAAAGGUUCAUUAGUUAAACAUUAGUUAAUGUAUUAACUAACAUGAACUAUCCAUGAGCAAUACAUUUGUUACUGUAUUUACUACUCUUCAUUAACGUUAGUUAAUGAAAAUACACUUGGUCAUUGUUUGUUCAUGUUAGUUCACAGUGCAUUAACUAAUGUUAACAAGAUUUUAAUAAUGUAUUACUAAAUGUUGAAAUUAACAUUAACAAAGAUUAAUAAAUGCUGUGUAAGUGCAGUUCAUUAUUAGUUCAUGUUAACUAAUGUAGUUAACUAAUGUUAACUAAUGAACCUUAUUGUAAAGUGUUAACGUUAAUAUAUAUAUAUAUAUAUAUAUAUAUAUAUAUAUAUAUAUAGAUUCCAUUGUCAUAUCAGCUGUUUUGCUUCUUUUUUUAUAUGCGAUUUAUGAAUGGCAGAUGCCAAAGAAUUGAAUUUGUGAAAAUUUUUAGUCUUUAAUAAACACUGGAAUAGGG